GCUAAAUCCCUGGCCCUGGACAGGUCCACUCUGAUGGCCUCUCCUUCAGCCUUUUAUUCCGUGCUAUAGGUGGGGAAACCGAGGCCCACAACACGGGAUGAUAUCUCUGCCGUAUACCUGGUGGCCUGAGAGGCCUUGGGCAAAGGCUGUUUGCUUAGCCCAUGGUAGAAUCUGCAGGGAGCGCUAAGAUGACGAAGGGGUGGAACUGGGACCCAGGGGCCCGUGGGCUCAGGCCCUGGUUAGGCACAGGUGGGGAGGGCAGCGGACUACAGGCCUGGGGCCCCCCCUGGGCAGUGAGUGGGUCUUCUGGUUCUCUGGGCCAGGACCUGUAUCAGAACCUGGUGGCCCUGAGUCCAUUCUGGCUUGGCCCAGGGCUGGCACAGCAGGCUUAGAAAGGGAACUUAAGAGCAGGUGAGGGUAGGGUAGGUGGACCCUGGCAUGUAGUCCUGAGAGCCUCUGACCUCCCCCAGCACCAGCUCUGAGCCGUUUCCCUGCCUUUACAGCUACCGUCUGUGGCCACCGUCAACCCUCCCGUGUCCCUGUGGUGACCUCCUGGAUGCUGUCCCAGCAUAUGGCUGCUGUGACCAUCGCGUUCCCAUUGCGCCUUUGGUCCUGUCACCUCCUUCUCCCAUACUGUCCAUGGCUCCCUACGAUGGGCUGUCCAGCUGCCCCUCUGCACCGACCCUGCUCGCUGUCCUUACAUUGCCCUGGAACAAGCAUGGUCCCUUCCUGUUGGACAGGGGACUGUGGGGCCCUGGGUCCUGCACGCCUCUGUCCCGUGGCCAUUGUCUUCUCCCAGCAGAUGCAGGCAGACUGGUGCCAGACUCCCAGGCACUGGGCAGAUGGGAGCAGCCCUUGCCAGCCUGAGGGCUGGGGCUGAAAGACGGUUACGCAGCGCUGCAGGAAGGAGGAAUCCCUACCACUCAGCUCCCUCUGUAUCACUGCCGUGUGCUGUGACUGCCCCGGAGGCGGCAGCUCUGGCAAGGGACUGGCUUAUCACAUCCAUCCCCACCCCAGCCCUGUCAUGGCUCUUCAGCAGGUGGGGUGAUGGGAGCGGUGAGGACAUUUCUGUCUCAGUGACUCAGGCUUGGGUUUGGGUGGCAUGGGCACCUCAGCCCUCCCAAGCAGCAGGCAGGGAAUGUGCCUGGGCCCCUUCUCUGCUGGGAUGCUCUUCUCUGGCCUACGCUGUCAGGGCUUUCUUUAGGGCUUGGCAGAGGGGACACUGAUGCUUGGAAGGCCGGCUAGACCCUGGCCAGGUACUAGGACCCCAGCUAAGCACUUGACAUGUAUCAUGCCCUUCAGUCCACCCACACACACCCCUGUGAAGCUGUGUGUCCCCUCCCUCCAUUUCACAGAGGAGAAACUGAGGCCCAGAGAGCCACACAACCAGGGAAUGGGUGAGCGAGGCUUUGUUUUGGGGCCCCUGAGGCCAGGGUGGGGUCUGUAAGCAAGAAAUAGACAUAGGAAGGGGGCCAGGUAGAUGAACAGGCUGGGCUUCGGGUGGGUUGAGAUAGGCACUGUGCCGGAGAAUGGGCCGAGCCCCGGGGGCUUGGGUGCUGCUGGGUCUCAGGGCUGAGCUGCCCCAGGGGUGGAUGCCUGCUGAGAUACCCCUCAGGGAGUCUGGGCUCCGCAGAGAAUGGGGCAGGGGUGGGCUGGGAGACGGGAGGAUUCAGAUGAGGAAAGUCAAGCCUGACCCAGUGACAGGGCGCAUGGGAUGCUUCCAGAGGUGAAGGUGGUGUUGCCCCUGAGACCAGGGCUGCAGAGACUGAGGGAGGUCAGGAGGUUUCCUGGAGGUGAGGCCCAGAGCUGUGAUGGGAGGGAAAGGUGGGAUUAAGCAGAAAUGAGCAACCAUGUGCCAGGCUGAGGAAAGGCCCUGUGGUAAGGAGGCAGUGGGAGAUGCUAUGUGUGUUGGAGCCGGAGACCUGUGGGCAGAGGUGUGCUGCCUGAGGCCUUGGGGCUUGCAGGCAGUGGUCAAAUCAGGUGUUAGAUACGGGCUUUUGGGUUCGGGGAAUCCCAAGGGUCCUCAGCCCCAGGCCUGGAAAUCUCAGGGUUCACAGCCAGCUUGCCUCUUCUCCUGGCUACUGUCUUGGGUAAGGAAAGUGUUACCUCCGACCCUGUAUUUCCCCAUCUAUAAAAUGGGCUCAUUGCCCCUCCGUCAAGGCCUGGCUGGGCGGUGUCUCCCACAUUUCCUAGGGUUCCCACUCAGUCCCUAGGCCCAGAUGGAGGUUGGUGAAGAGGCUUCUAUCUCCCUGGCAGGUUGGAGAAGGGCUGUGCACUUCUGGCUGCAGGUAAAGGUACUAAAAAAUGCUCAUGAAGGGAGACAAAUGAGAUGCCUGGCUGUGUGACACGGUCAGGCCGGUUCCUCUCUGGGCUCCUCUGUGGAAGGUAAGCAAGACUGAUUCUGCCCCCUGAGCCCCCGAGAGACUGGGUGUAGCAGGUCUUUGCCAGCCCAGAGUUACAUGCGAGUGAAGAAACUGAGGCCUAGUGAGGUGAGGUGCAGCCUGGGCAGCUUGGCAAGGAGCAGCAGGACUGGGGCUGCCACUGCUUGAGGGACUCUGAUUUCAGUGCUCUCAGUGGCGUGCCCAGCCUUGCCCAGCACCUGGCAUUUGAGUGCCACAUGCAGUGGAGGUGCUCCCACCUGCAGGAGUGUGCUUCAGCCCCGGGUGGGUGUGGGGAUAUUGUCACAGGUUGGCUUCAACUCUGGUGUCUACGCAUGCAGGAGGCUUACUGGGGGACACCCCCAGAAUCACACCAGUGGGCAUAAGGUGAGGAGAGAUGUCAGGGGAGCCCUCCACCUGCGCAGGCUGCAGAGCUGUCCUGGGCCAUAUCCCUGCCUGUGUUGGUUGGUUGCUGUUGCCAUUAUCCUGGAGAGGGGGUUCCUUCUACUGAGGGACACAGUUGUGAGCCCCUGCAGCUGGGGAAAGUGUGUCUCAGUCGUGAAGGGGCCUGGGUGGGGCACAGAUGUCCUGUGACAUUUGUAAUCAGAGCGAGGUAGGCACCGAAUCUCCAGGACAAUUGCUGUGAGGAAGGCAGUGAUGGCAGCUGGCCCAUCUGUUCCUGGACUCCCUGGUGCCCACAGUCACCAUGCAACCCAAGCUUUGUGGCGCUGCCGCAGCUUCUGAACCAGCAGCAGCAGUCUUGGGGCCCUUCCUGUUGUGCCUUGUACCCUCAGCCCCUGUCUCCUGGUGCUUGUAGAACCCAGCCUCUGCUCCUGUCCCCUCCCGCUCUGUUCACAGCUCUGGAGGUCCUACAGCUUCUCCCAGAAGCCCUGGAGGGUGAGCAUGUUUCCUGGCCCCCCACCCUCAGGGACCUUGGCUCUGGGUCAGCCCAGCUUUGACUCUGAUCUGGACUGCGAGCUCCUUGAGGACCAAGACAUCAGCCUCCCUUGUGUGCUGCCUGCCAGGGAGACCUGGAAGUAUGCCCAAUCCCCAGCUACUUUAUAAACAUGAGCAGAGUGAAUGAAGUCUCGAGCCCUCUCUCCCUGUGCUGGAGUGACUUUCUGUGGAAUAGAAGGCCAGGAGGAGCGUCGCGUGCCUGACCCUGCCCACCCCAGAACAGCCAGAGGAGCCCAUGGUGGCUGCUGUGCCACUGUGUUCUGCACACUGAGUAUCCAUGAACAGUGGGAGGAUGCCCAGAGGCCCAAAUGACUUGUGUUGGUUUGCAGU